rnacentral:lncRNA from 1 species
AUUUGCAGGUUUCCCUUCAGUAGGAAAUUGCUGGACAGGCGGACCAGCGCACCGGAAUUGCACUGGCGAAGCCACAAGCAACUCAAACAAUCUGUUUAAUUGUUGCACUUUGAACAAUAAUGCUUCUACAAAGGCCAUAGCAGAAAAACAGCCUGAUGCCGAGUAUUUCUGUGCCACGAAGUAAUCAAGAGGCGAGUGCCUAAUGCGGACGAAAUAGAGUGCAUCGAGACUUAGAACGACAGAAAGCUGAGCUAGUUAGUAAGGAUUCAUUAUGCAAAACAGAGGUGAGGCGUGCAGACAGGACACAAGAGCAGAGAAGUGGGCGACGCUCGUGUUGUUUGCUUGUAAAUACUCUACUCUUGUGUCCUGUCUGCACGCCUCGCCUCCGUUUUGCAUAACGAGUGCAUCAACCCACAUAAUAAUAGCGUAGGCGUUUUAUUAACUGUGCAAUAUUUUCAACACUUCCUUGCAUGCCAUUUCAUGUGGAAUAUCUUUUCUGGUCACAAAUUUGUGCAGCGAAUCUAUUUGCAUGAUCGACUACGGGCCUGUGGGACCGUUCACUUGCACUUGAUGCUGAGUCUUUUACAUGUAUCCAUAAACUGCAGAUAUGCACAUCAGAUCUCUGCGAGCAUUUUCAAAAUUCAAUUAUUUUAGACAACAGGCACAUAUGCAAUACUGACAUAAUCUCAAAUACCACUAAGCAGCUGGGACACAUUUUUGUUGACCAUACUCGCAGGUAAAAUAAGUAGAUCAUGUGGACGGCUCCAGCUCAUUUUCCUUAAAUCAGUGUGUACAAGGGGUAUGCAAAAAUAAUUUUUUUCUCGCGCACCAAUUAUUUUGCUGUAUAAGCAAGGGAACCCACCACAUUAGUGUAACGUAUCUUGUACAUCACACUAAUAUGUGCUUUAAUUUACCAAUUGAGAUGAGUUACUUUUAGGGCUCAUUCAGUCAUAUCACACUGCAAAGCUGCAUUCAUCAAUCUUCAAUUGGAUUUUGCAAAUGUUUAAUGAAACAUGUUUCCCUUUUAUGCAGAUAUGCAAUGGCAAGCCCUUCCGUGUGUUCCAAAGACAAUGCCUAUGCCUAGCCACAGCAGCUCCCUCAUACAGACUCCGCAAGCCAAGAGGCUGUGGAUGCAAAUGCAGGUAAGAGGCAAGAAGCAAUAGCACUGGUAUCGACAUUCAUCUAAUUUCUUUCUUUUUCUUUCGUUUAGGCAGCCAGCACACCUCGAACAGCCACCUCGACUGCGGGUGUGUCACCCUAGUCGCCAAGGAAACAUUUGAGGGAAAGUGACAGGCAUUGUGAACAGCCACUUCUCCAUGUACACGAUACUCUUUCUCUCGGAUGACUUCUACGCCUCGCCACGCCAGCACACUUGUGCACAAAGAUGCCGCGGAGGCACGUGCAGGUCAGAGGCAAGAAGCAGUGGCACUGGUGUCGACAUUCACCCAAUUUCUUUUUCUUACACUGAGACAGCCAGCGCACCUCGAACAGCCAACUUGACUACGGGUGUGUCACUCUAGUCGCCAAGGAAACAUUUGAGGGAAAGCGACAGGCAUUGUGAACAGCCACUUCUCCAUGUACAAGAUACUCUUUCUCUCGGAUGACUCCUACGCCUCGCCACGCCAGCACACUUGUGCACAAAGAUGCCGCGGAGGCACGUGCAGGUCAGAGGCAAGAAGCAGUGGCACUGGUGUCGACAUUCAACCAAUUUCUUUUUCUUACACUGAGGCAGCCAGCACACCUCGAACAGCCACCUUGACAGCGGGUGCGUCAGUAGAUUCCUGUUGUACAUAUGCUCAUAAUAAACUUCAGUAAACUUGAACUUGAUAAUAAACUUCAAGGCAAAUGGGA